GCACUUGGCCCAGAAACUUGUUAAAGCUAAGAUUACUAGGGUUAUAUUAUAUUUUCAAUUUCCACUUCACUUAAUCUCUUCCGCUCCUAGGGUUUACAGCCGCCACCACCAUCCUCAAUUCCUCAUCUUCAUCCCAAUCGAAACGCCGCUCAAGGAUUCAAGCUACCAUCGUCCUCUUCGUCAUCCAUCAUAUGUUCUAGGGUGGGUUGUGAUGUAGCUUAGGAGUUAUGGUCAGCUGAGAUUAACUUCACAGUUUUAAGAGGUAGUUUCUCUUCAUUUUAUCUCUUACAUUUGUUUAAGUCCAGUGUUUGGUUGUUCUUCUGUUUUUCUUCUUAUAUCUCCUCUAUUUUCUGCAUGUUUAUUGAGUUAUGCAAGAAGUUGGAUAUAUGCAGAGGUUUAGAGCAACAGGAGCUGGAAAUGUGCAAAGUAACGGUGAUCAGGAUGCCAUCCAAUUUAUGUUGAACUAGGUGCUGGAAGUUUGAUGGACAACAAUUAUAAUUUAUGUUGGCUAUUUUAUUUUAUAUUGGCUUGUCAUUUUACUUCACUUGUGAAUUUGUAAUGAAUUUAAUUCCCUGGCUAGCAUGUUCCAACAAUGACACUAGGUUGGAUGAUGGACAACAAUAUUAGUUAUGAGCAAAAAUGGCUCAAUGAUUCUUAGAAGGAUAAACUAGAAUGGCUAAAAGUAGAUCAUUUUUACAAAA